UCCCUGACAGUCCAGCAGUUAAGACUCAGAGUUUCUGCUUCAGGGGGCACAGGUUCAAUUCCUGAUCGGGGAA
rnacentral:tRNA from 1 species